UGCGAACGCUACACUUUCAUG
rnacentral:piRNA from 1 species